GCCGGGUAUGGUAUGUGUACGGUAUGUACGGUAUGUACGGUAUUUGAGUUGAUUGUGGUGGAUGGAUUGGAUUUGUUUAGAAGCAUUAAGAAGCAAAAGGGGAACACAAUGUGUCGUUUUAUUUUUGUUUUUAUAUCACAGAUUGCGCGCUGAGAAAGAACCCCCCCCCGCAAAAACGCCGUCCUGGCUCUACGGAAAAUCAAAGUCCAUUGAAGUUAUACAGAUGAGGAUCAAGACGAAGCACAUGACAAAAGGAAAUCACUGGAGGAAUAAUAGGCCGGUUCGGAAUGGUAGCAAUAAGGCAA
rnacentral:sRNA from 1 species